UCAGCCCUGCUUCAGAAGAGGGAGCAGAGCGGGCAGGCUGCCUGGUGUCCUGGGACAGAAGAGCAAGAAGAGGCCCCAGGCCAAGGCCAGGCACCACGUGGCCAUCUUCCUGGGGCAGGAAGUCCCUUCAAAGCAUCCCCGGCAGCCAGAAGCACGCACAGCUUGGCUGCUCAAUUCCUCGGGGCCUCACAGUCGCGGUAAGGAGGAGCGGCAGGGGGAUGCUGCUGCUUCCCUCUUACAUACUCAUCCAGGAAGUGACAGGACGUACGCUUGCUGUAGGAGGGCAAGGUCCCCGAGGAGGGCAAAGAGACAGCUGAGAUGCUCUGCCCUGAGAGGGUGACGUGGGGCCGGGAGAGAAAGGGUCUCACGGGGGAGAGAAAUUGGGGUGGGAGGAGGACAGAGGGGCCUUGAUGGUCAGGAAGCGCGGAGGCCCUCGGCGUUAUUUGUGAUGCAAAGCCACUGUCUGACACCCACGACACAGACAGAAAGACAGACGAUAGAGAGAGCCAGACAGACAGACAGACGGAAGGCGAUGAGCUGGAAGGGAACAGAGGAGCAGAGAGGAGAGGGGCCCAGAGGCAGUGGGGGAUAAAGCUGGGCUCAGAAGUGACUGGGACACUCAGCUAGGUAUCGCCACGCCUCGGGGAGGAGAGCGGCAGAGAUCACAAAGGAAAAAUGGACUUUUCCACAGAGCCUGCCCACGCAGACCGCAACUACACCCGCGGGGGCAGAGGCCUAGGUUCCCCUGCUCCCCAAGUCCAUCCUUUCUGCAGAGCAGCCCACAGCAGCAGCGGUCUCCCAGAGCAGGCUGGAGGAGGGACGCGCCUCCCCUCCUCUGCCAGCCGUCCCCGUGAGCAGCCCAGAAAGCAGUCGAUGGCCACAGGCACCCAUGGGAAAUCCUCACUGUUCCCCAAGCGCCACAGGACCCGCCAUGGUGAACGUCAGCGUCAGCUCGCUGGCUCCAGGUGCUCAGCAGGCUGCUAAACUUGAUGUCUGACUACAUCCACGAGGGUUCCGUGAGAGGUGGCCUUUGAGUCGCGGGACAGAAUGCGAGGGGCCCGUUCCCCUGGUGUGGGGCGGAGGUGGGACAGAACAGAAAGGCGAGGCUGCACAAUCCUGAGGAGCUGAGCACCCUUCUCUCCUCAGACCUCGGAGCUUCAGGUUCCCGGCCUUUGGGCCCCUGGACGGCACCAGCGCCCCCAGGUUCUCAGCCUGGGAGCCUCAGGCUGAGAUACCAAGCCACAGCACGCAUUUCCUCCAGGGUGCAGGCAGCAACCCACGGGCUUGCAUGGCCUCUGUCAUCACAUGACCCAACUCCCCUAAUGAAUCUCCCAUCCUUCAUAGAUGCCUAGAGACAGGCAGACAGACAGAUGAUUGGUAGAUAGACAGAUGAUAGAUUGAUGAUGCCAGAUAUGAUGGACAAGUGACAGGUGAUAAACACAAAUGAUAGAAGACAGGUAUGAAUGAGCUGCUAGGCGACAGAUUGAGAGAUGGUGGUUGGACAGACCAACAGAUACGAUGGGUCAAUGACAGAGGACGUGUAGAACACAGAGGGGCGGCUGAUGUGAUGUGGCAGACGGUGCGGUGGACGGACGGACGGGCGGAUGGACAGAGAUGCUCCAUUGGUUCGGUCCCUCUGGAGAACGCUGCCCAACCCCAGGCCCACGGCCUCGGAGAGGGACCGCGGACGGAAGCUGCUGUCCAGGUCGGCCCGCAGAGCCCUGCGUGUCCCUGCUGCACCUCAUCUCCACGCUCGCUUCUCACCUCACACUUUUAUCGUCACUGCUCCCCCAGAGCCGACAGCUCACCCCACAGCCAGCUGACCUCUGGGCCCUGUCGAGGGACACAGCCUCCUAAGGGACGUGGGACGCUUGCGGAACCGCACGCUGGGCCACACGUCCGCCACCAGCAAGGGAGUGCGUCAGGCUGAGCUCGAGCAGCGAGGCAGCUGGCCUCUCCCGCCGGCCCUGCCACGAUGCCUCACUGCCCAGGCCUCAGAGCCCAGCGGGCGCCUGGCCAAGGAGACGGCACGGCUGUGAGAGUCUGCUCCCACGCAGCGCAGCCACGGGACCACCAGCUGCGGAGACGAGUCUGUCUGCCUCUGGGGACCCACGCCUUGGGCCUUGGUUAGCCGCCCGGCAGAGGGGACUGUCCACCCAUCCCGAGCGCGACCCUGGGCCAUCCCCUCAUGGGUGCGAUCGCCUGAGGGAAGGUUACACUGCCAACCCCCUCCGCGCUGCUCCACUGCGUGCUUGGGGAGCUCCAGUGCUGAGCUAGCUCAGAGGCCGGGCCUCCCCACCACCUGCUCCGGAGUCUCCGCUGGGAUCGUGUCUUCUCCCACCAAGGUUGGCGCCCGUGAGGACCCAGCUCUGGGUGAAAGCAGAGAGUCCUUCCCCGAGGUUCCCAGAGGCUGGUGCAGAGCCUUCUGAGAACAAGUGUCCAAGGCAGCCCCAAACUAGACACAAGCUGUGGAUGCAGACAGAGACACCAUGGGCCCAGGGGGACCUGUUCAAGUGCAGAAUCCCCAGGCCCGACCUGCCCCCUUCUCCCAGACUGGGGUCCUGGCCUUGAUGUUGCCCCAUUUCCUCGUUAAGACAUAAACACAGAAGCCCACCAGGAGUCUGCUGACAACCCCCCGUGCCGCUGCUGGGACACUGGGCCAGGCCACAGACAGGCAAGCAGGCGAGUCCUGACCAGCCCCUGCAGGAUGGCGCAGAACCCAUGGUUCCCUCUCACCAGAUAUGGCCAGGAAGACCUGGAGGGGAAAAGCUUAAUGUGGAUAGACUUAGUGAAAAUGAGAGACACAUUUUCAGAAGGAAUCAGCAGGGAGUUCUUACCCCAGCCUCAGUUUGUCCACCUGCAAAAUGGGUAACAACAUCCAUCUCACACUGCCCUGGUGAGGGCUUCGGGCCCCUGAGCCAGCAGAGGUCCCUGGAGGCAGAGACGGGGCCUCAGUGCACGUGGCUCACUGGGGGAACGAGGGAAACGGGGAGAGUGGCAGAAUCCCGAAGCACGGAAGCUGUCCCCGCGGGAGCCGGCCUUGGCCUUGGUGCAUAGGAAGCUCCGCAGCAGAACUGCAAGCCAGACGACUCCGAGAAGCCAGGGCCACCACUGGCCAUGAGCGUCCCCAGGGGCAGGGCGGGGCCGGGUCUCCUGGACCCACUGAGGGCGGCUGUCUGGAGCAGGGUGGCCUGAGCACAGGCCACCAGCACCCACAGGGAGGGGCAGGAGAAUGGCCAGGACCGAAGCGCCAGCACCUCCCGCCCUCUGCUUCAGCACGCAGGCCUCACUUAUCCGGGGUUUCACUUUCCACGGUCACCACUGGUCCAGGCCGUGAGUCACCUCCAGAGAAGGGCUGAGGACGGCGCAUGAGGUAUGGGCGGGUACAGCUCUGCUGUCCUGCUCUUACUGUCAUUGUCUGUCUGGCUGUGCCCGUCUGGGAGUCCCCCAUCCCCGGUGUGUGUCCCUGGGAAGCAUGUCUGGGUCCGGCACCACCCGCAGGCUCAGCAUCUGCUGGAGCUUGUGGGCCACAUUGUGGUGGAGCAGGGACCUCUGCACCCAGCCGGAACAGCUUCCUGGCUCGUCACCGUGCACCCCACGUUGGCUGCAACUCCCACAGCUGACUUGUUUGCGCCCGAGGAAAGAGGGGAGCGCGAAGCUGACAGGAAGCCAGGGACCGCAGGCUGGCUGGAAACCAGCUCUGAUCUGCUCACUGGGCACCUGACACAGCUUCGGGAGGGCCGUGGGGUGCAGGGCGGGGCUGACUCCACUGCGCACCCCUCGCCCGCCCGGCUUUCAGUUCACCGCUGUUGGCAUGGGAGGGCCCACCUGCCUGUGCAGCCUCCGCCAGGACGGGACGCUCGGGGUUGGGGGGACGGGCACGCUGUGGCCUUGGCAUUGGGCACAGGUGCCCGCCGCCCUCUGGUCUUCAAAGCAGAGGGAGCAAGCAGUGCCAGGCACCAGGGUCAGCCUGGCUCCCGUUGGCCCGCACAGCUUUCCAUUUUAUUUUAAUGAUCCGAAGACACUUGAAAAUCAAGAGAAUUGGGGGGAGUGAUCUGCUUUCUGCUCCUCUACAAACCUGGCGCCCCCAGCUCCUGUCGGCCUGCAUCCUCGGCGGGGCCUACUCCCCAUGCAGCCCGCCCGCCUCCCUGGGGGAGCAGAAGAUCGGGAAUCCAGGACGUCGGCCUCUGCCAUCCCAUGACUGCACUCCUGAGACCCGGGAGCUUUUCUGCCUCCGUCCUGUGAGUGCUGGCGAACGCAGGGCUUGGGCACCAUGGCCACACCGUCUGCACAGCACUCUGAGGUCAGCAUCGUGAGUCCCAUUUUGAGGAUGAAGAAAGAGAUAUGCAGGAGAUCAGUGCUUCCCAGGAUCACACAAGAGGCCGGCAGUAGAGCCAGGAUGGGUGGUGAACCUGUGACACCAAGAGAAACCACCAGCUCUGCCAUCAGGAGCAAAUCCGCUCGGUGCAAAUACUGCUGGUUGCCCCUCUUUCCAGGGGCCUUGCUGUGCACAUGCAGCCCAGGGCAAACCUGCUCCCUGUGAGCGUGCCGGGCAGCCUGAGACCCAGCCCACGUGGCCGGCCAGGAGCUGGUGGGGUCCCUGCGCUCCCACUGACCUUCAGCCAGGCCUGCGCUUAUCCCUGCCACCCGUGGGCCUCUGUCACCUAACUUGGCCGCCACCUCACCCUUCUCUGAGGGGCCCCAGCCACACCCCCUCUGACUGACGCUCUUUCAGCAGCCCUCGCCCAGCUGUCUGCUUGGGGUCUUGCCGGAUCUGUGCACUGAAGGGAGGUUAGAUCGGGCGGCACCCAUGGGGACUCCUGACAGAGCAGUGGUGUCACCUAGGCUACUGGCCCUGGAAAGAGGAAAUUCAUUACCUCAGAGGGUGUUCUGUUCUGUAUUUCGAAGCUCUGAGUUUCAGCAAAUCCUUCUUUAAGCCUACCUGAAGUCUCCUACAUUUUUACAUCAUUCACCCGUCAGCAGACUCAUGCCGAGCACAGAUUCGGUUUCCCCAUGAUAAGAAAAGUGACAGCAAUCCACUCAAGCUGAUCUACCCAGUGAAAGAUAUCACUGGGGAAAAAGGAUUCAAAUGAGGCUUCUUCUGAAGCUCAAAAAUGCAACACAGGGCCAGGAGGCGCUCCCUUCUCUGCUGCCUCCUCGGUGACUCCAUGUGACCCACGCUCUGCAGCGGCUCCGGGUCAUCCCUUGUGUUAGCAAAAGGGUUGCUGCAGUUCCAGGCUUCUCAUCUCAUCCUCCAGGGGAACCAGGGCAGGUCUUUUGUUAGCUCCUCCCACAAGUCCUGCACUCACUCUUAUUAACCCACAAGUGAACCAAUCACUGCAGCCAGAGGGAUGGGACUUGGGGCUGGGGUGAGGUUUCUCUCCCAUCCAUACCAAAGGACUUGAGAGGAGGGAGGGUGGCCUCUCAAGGGAGAUGAGACACGCUGGCCAGAGUGGAGGAGCUGGACACUGUGAAAGGACCCACAAAUGUGUCCUAGCGGGUCUUUCCUUUGUGACAGUUGCCAUGUUGGUUGCUGAGGACAGCACACGGAAUGAAACUCCAUCCCUGCCUGAAGAAGCCACUGGCCUGAUGGGGACACUGGUCACUAAGAGUUCUCACCAUCUGACAAUGUCCCUGGUCUAUCCGAUCUCAAGCCUUCCCACGUGGCGCCCGAGCCCCAGCCUGGGAUGGUCUCCUCCUACAGAAGAGCUGAGCAGCGUGCACAGCACGAGCUGAGCCCUCAGCGGGUCAGCCUCAUGCCGGGACCCCAGAAACAGGUCUGGGACUGGGGCAGCAGCAAGGCACUCACCUGGGAGGUGGUCCCAAAGACACCAGGAGGGUAGGCAGGGGAGGAAGGUGGUCAGCGGUAGAUGAGCAGGCUGUCACCAUGAGCAGCGGGCCUGCAGAGCCUGCUGCGUGGGAGGGAAGAGCAUUCUGAGAGGCCGUCCUCACACUGAGACACCCCGCGUGCCUCGCCAAGCCCAGGGUGACAGUGCCCUUCUCACCCAGGGAGGCAGCGACAGGCUCUUCUCCUCGCUGGCCAGACCCCAAGUGCCCGUGGCCGCUCCAGCUGUACCCAGCCCGAGGGCCAGUGUGACAGCUGAGCACCGGAGUGUGGAGAGGCAGCUGCUUUAACAGCUUGUGGCUAAAGGCCUCGACUUUGCAGUUUUACAGAAACAUGGCAUCCGAAGGCCAGGAUGGAGCCCAUGUAAAGAAAGAGCCCGAGCUUGCUUCUUCAGCCUACAUGGGCCAGCCCUGCUCUCAGCUGCAGGUGACAGAAAAUCUGGCUCCAAGUGGCUCCCAAAGAAGCAUGCCUGCUGCACACAUAAGGGAACUCGGAAAAGGGGGCACGAGGAGCCCAACCGCAGCUCCGACGGCAGGACCCGGCCUUUCCUCCCUUCACUACUGCCUCCAUGGCUUGAAUGGGUCCCUCAAAAGUUCAUGUAGCACAAACGAGCCCCAAACUCAUUUGUUGGUGUCACGUGCAGGUGAGGCCUUUGGGGAGAACUCGGGUGAGAGGAGGGCCCACGGUGGGGCUCCGUGACGGCACGGGUGGCUCUGUAAGAGGACAGAGAGAGAUCACACUUGCACGCCGGGCUUCCUGGUCACGGUGCCCUGCCAUGUUAGGACACACCAGGAAGGCCCUCACCUGGGCAGCACCAUGCUCUGGGCUUCCGGUUGUGAAUAUUCUGCUACCUCGGCGUGAAGCCAACCAAGCAGACACUGUCUCCCCCAGUCAGCCUCCUCCCGAAGCUGGGUCUCCUCUGCUCUGGAGAUGGGGUUGGGAGCCACCUGGCUGUCCACUUCCUCCAGGGACUUCCACAGAAACUCAAGCCACCCUACACUGCAGCCCCAUUGGCCCAGGGUGGGUCACCCAACCCCAGACCAAGCCAUAGGGGUGGCUUCCAGCCCAGGAGAGUCCACACCUAGAGUUGAGACAAAGGCACCAAACCUCACAGCCUCAACUCCAGGCACAGCGGGGCCAGGCUGUCCCAUCCCACAGAGGAAGUGGCCACCUGUCAGUGCUUUCUGGGGACAGCGUCGUCAUCAGCACCGUUUUGUGGAAAGAUAUCUUCGCUGUCCUCUUUCAUUUAUUUAUCCAGUCAGCUCCCAGGCCUAGGCCACUUGCUGUGAACGGAGACCCAAGGAGACAGGGAGCUCUUGCUCGCCAUCCGGGGCCUCGCACCCUUGCAGCCAAGCGUGAAGGAAUCCCCGGGCUGGUGCUGCUGGCCGAGGUGGCAUCGCCUGCCGGGAUCCCUGCAAAUCAUCCAAAGCAGCUUCUCUCCCAGCCUCAGACCCUGGCCGGCCAUCGCACAGUAGCUGCUGUGUGAGUUCAGGUGUGCGUGAGAACAGAUGUGCGUGAGAGCAGAUGUGCGUGCGUGUUACAGCCUGCUCCCCUCAGCGUCUGACGCUGAAACUCGGCAAGGAGAUCCGGAGUCCGGGUGAAGACACCAGCCAGUGUCCUUUGAAAACUCUGACAGGGCGGAAGGAGGAACAAGGAGAAGGCCCUGUCCCUGCGCCAAGUCUCGAUGAUCUUGGGACAAUAUUUACACUCUCAAGUCUCUUCUUCCUCACACGGAAGGUGCGAAGUCUCCCCGGUUCUGCAGACUUCCUGGGCAGCUAACAGGAAGGGAGACAGCAGACUGCUGAAACCUACAGGGUAAUUCCUUCAGGACCACCUGUACGGAAGGAGGCUGCAACCACAUUAGUGGCAGCAGAGCCAGGCACCUUCAUGACCCCUCUUCCUUCUAAUCCGCAGGUGAGGAAGGGGCCAAGGGGUCAAAUAAUGUCUCAAGGUCACAGCGCCCGCUCGAGGCAGGGCUGUGCUGUCUUGGCCGGGAGCGACCUGUGCUGCCCCACAGCCCAGGAAAGACAAGAGGUCCCCGCGGUUGAGAAAGUCCACACUGACAGGGUCCGCCUUGGGAGGAAUAGCAGGAGCUUGGAAACACAGGCGUAUCUCCAAGCGCCUGAGAGCCGACAGCAGGAGACGCAGGCAAAGCCCGCCUGGUGCUCAGGAAGAAGGCACAGAGGGCGAGGCCUGUGUCCAGUUUCCAAGGGGACUCUGACAGGCCCAGGCCAGCUUAGGUAGUAAGCAGCAGGCCUUCCUUCAACCAGCACUUCCUGUGUGCCUGGGUGAACCGUGCGCUCCUACCGCUGGCGCCCCUUCAGCCUUCCAUUCAUUGGCAUCCAGCACAGUCACACUGUCGUCCCAUAGCCACCUGCCCUCCCUAGAACUCUGUACCCAGCACACACUAAUUCCAUGGAGACGAGGAGGCUGGCAUAGAAAAGCUCACCAACUCCCUUUCAGGAGACGCCGAUUUCUACAAUUCAGCCCUACACAGCAUCGAGCAGGCAAGGACUGGCCCUGGGACUCCUCUCCCUCCGCACUCGCCCCAAGCAGAAGAUGGAGCUGCAGAACAACCCCCGCCGUGUCUGAUGGGGCUGGAAACCAGAACGGCCAGUGACUUCUGGCUACAUUUCUCAUGGGCUGGAUGUGUUUUCGAAAGGAUGAAGCCCCCCAGCUGGAGGCUACACAGCGUUCCUGCUGCUGCCGUUUCCGCCGGAAACUCCAGGUGGGUCGGUACCAGUGCACACAGAGCAGUGGAGCUCUGCUCUCACAGCCAAGGCCAGCGCAGGAGCGCAAGGAGAAGCCUUGGGGCGAGGACACCUGGAGACCACAGCGGCCUGGCACCCGGCCCCGUGGCCCACACCCCCUGCUGUGCUCUCUCCAGAGUGGGCGUGGCGCCUUGCUGGGGGAGCACUGGCUAGAAGCGCCUGGGGCUCCCAGAAGCUGCCUGGCCCUCUCUGACCAAAAGCAUCAGGAGCAGAAGCACACCUGACCCUGCUCCACCUGUCCACCCAGCAGGCCCGGGGAGGACUCAGCUGCCGGGAGCCCAGCCUGUGGAGGACUUCUGCACCGUGCACUGCAGACAUUUCCAGCGGAGUCGUGGGCUUCAGUGCCCACGGCGCCUGCCGGGACCUUGGGCAUCAUCUUGGGCACAGGCAGCAGGGCUCGCCACCCCGUCAAGCCGAGGUUGUGACAACCCAGAGUCUGGGGGUGGCUCCAGAUUCCCAAAUGAAACACAGAGAAGAUGAGUGACGGCUGAGCUGCAGGCAACCAGACACUUCUUCUUUCUCCCAUCUCUGUUUUACUGUAAAAUGUAUCCCCUUGUAACAUCUGGGGCAUUGUCCUGGGAUUUCUCGUCAUUUAUCUGCCUUUCAAACUUAACCUGGUGCCCGAUGCUUUAUCGUCAGCCUCCCAGGGUACAGAUCACCUCCACCUGAGAGUGCUGGUCUCGGGUGGCCACGUCACAGCUUGCUGGGGGCUUUCCCGGUUUUUCCUGGGAAGCACCGCCCCGGGAAGCUCCAUGGUCCCCCACACUGGCACAGUUGACCCCCUUAGCAGACCUGCUGCUGAUACUCACGGCCUCUCGGAGGCCCUCGGAGGGCUGGGAUGCCCAUGGAGCGGCGGGCGGCAGGCCUUCCUGUGGGAGGGAACGACUCAGCCCUGCUCUUCCUGCACUGCUGACCAGCAGUCACAAGCACAGCCUCAGCCAGAGCGGCUGGAGUCUGCCUUCAAAGGGGCCUAUUGAUUUUGGCGGCCUGAAGCGUCCUUACCCCAGAUAGUUCAUCUGGAGAAGCCCCGUGCCCAGAGCUAAUGGGCUUCCCCACCAGCUGGGGAGACCACAGCUGGGCUCCGGUUUUCCUAUAAAUCCUCACGAUGGAUCCUUUCGUGGUUGUCACGGCCUGAAUUCAGAACUGUAUUGACUGACCUCCCCUGGUGCCCAGGGCUGGUCUCCCUGCAGCCAGGGCUGUUGCUAGGCAAUGCAGAGCUUUUUUUCCUGCCGUUUCUUGUCGGGUAGGAUGGCAGGAUGAGGCAGGGAGAGGGGUGGAGUGCUGCCGAAGACCCACAAGGCCCUGUCCCUGCUGCCUCUGGUGUCACUCAGUCUGGCACAGACCUCACAGCUCACACUGCAGCUUUUUUGAUUGUCACAGAAUCCGGGACUACAGGCGAUACUGUGUGGAAGGGAAAUCCAUCUUUGGCUUCUUUAGCCGUGUCACGACUGUUUUACUGGGUGGUAUAUGGGCGUGUUCUGGCUGUGUCCAGUUGUGCCCCAAAGCCUCGUGUGGUCACAGGUGGGGCUCUUCCAGAGGUGGCUGCAUCUAGGGUGUGUGACGCUGGGACUGACUCAUGGUGCAGUGCUAGGCUCAAGGGCACCAGGGUCAGGGUCUGAGUGCUGCCCGCCCUGAGGGCCUGGGUAAGACAGAGGGGCAGGAGGAGCUGUGGUCGGCCCUUGUUGCUUUGCUGUCUUCUGCCCACCCUGAGCUGUUUCUCCUGUGCCAGGCCCCCGCCCACCCACCUUGGAGCCAGUGGAUUAGGAACUGAAACCUCUACAAACUCUGAGCUAAA